rnacentral:lncRNA from 1 species
UGCCGUGUUGCCAUUAUGACGUGCUUUUUAGGAAAGACAGGCCAGGAAAGCAAGGUGGUGGAGUUGCUCUUUAUGUGAGAGAGCAACUGGAAUGUAUGGAGCUGUGCCUAGGGGUGGAUGAAGAGCGAGUCGAGAGCUUAUGGGUAAGGAUUAAAGGGCAGGCUAGCAGGGGUGACACUGUUGUGGGUGUUUACUACAGGCCACCUGAUCAGGAAGAGGAAGUCGAUGAGGCCUUCUACAGACAGCUGGAAGUAGCCUCACGAUCACGGGCCCUGGUUCUCAUGGGGGACUUCAACCACCCUGAUAUCUGCUGGAAAGACAACACAGCUAGGCACAAACAGUCCUGGAGGUUCCUGCAGAGCACUGGUGACAAUUUCUUGACACAGGUGGUGGAGCAACCAACAAGGAGAGGUGUGCUGCUGGACCUCGUACUAACAAACAGAGAAGGACUGGCUGAAGAUGUGAAGGUCGGGGGCAGCCUUGGCUGCAGUGACCAUGAGAUGGUGGAGUUCAGGAUCCUGCGAGGAGGCAGCAGGGCACUAAGUAGGAUUGCAACCGUGGACUUCAGGAGAGCAAACUUUGGCCUCUUCAGGGACCUACUUGGAGGAAUCCCAUGGGUUAGGGCCCUAGAAGGAAGGGGCGUUCAAGAGAGCUGGUUAAUAUUCAAACAUCACCUCCUCCAGGCUCAAGAGCGGUGCAUCCCUAUGAGUAGGAAGUCAAGCAAAGGAGGUAGGAGACCUGCAUGGAUGAGCAAGGAGCUCCUGGCAAAACUCAACCAGAAGAAGGAAGUAUACAGAAAGUGGAAAGGGGGACAGGCCACUUGGGAGGAAUACAGGAACGCUGUCAGAGUAUGCAGGGAUGCAACGAGGAAGGCUAAGGCCCGUUCGGAAUUAAAUCUGGCGAGAGAUGUCAAGGACAGCAAGAAGGGCUUCUUCAAAUACAUCAGUAGCAAGAGGAAGACUAGGGAAAAUGUGGGCCCAUUGCUGAAUGGGGUGGGUGCCCUGGUGACGAAGGAUGCAGAGAAGGCAGAGUUACUGAAUGCCUUCUUUGCUUCAGUCU